rnacentral:misc_RNA from 1 species
GAACUGUGAAGUUGCGUAAAAUCGAUAGUUGCAUUCGGGGUCGAGAUGGUUGGAAAAUGUGGUCGAUUUUAGGUCAUAGUCUGUGAAUUAUUUCUCAGUGAUGUUAAUUAUUUAGGCGAGACAUUAAGUUAUUGAAAUGGAGCAAGAAACUGUGUACGACUCGAACGAAGACUCGCACGUAGUCAUGUGCGAGAAAGUCCAAUCCCUAGCAGGGAGUGUUUACCAAGAACUGGAACGUAUGAUUGCAAAAUAUGAUGAAGAUGUGGUAAAAAAUCUUAUGCCACUAGUGGUCAACAUUUUGGAAAGUCUUGAUUUCGCUUAUACUGAAAACCAAGAGCAUGAAGUUGAGCUGGAGCUCCUUCGUGAAGACAAUGAACAGUUAGUUACACAGUAUGAACGAGAAAAGCAGCUUCGGAGAGCAUCAGAACAGAAACUGUUUGAGCUUGAAGAUCACAAUGAAGAACAGGUCAAACAGUCUGUUUCCAAAAUCGAAAGUCUUGAGUCCAUUGUGCGGAUGUUUGAACUGAAGACCAGAAAUGCUUCUGACCAUGUGGCCCGACUGGAGGAGAAGGAGGACACGAUGCGAAAGGAGUACGCCAAGCUGCACGACCGCUACACAGAGCUCUUCAAGACGCACAUGGAUUACAUGGAGCGCACCAAGAUCCUGCUGGGCACCGACCGUCUCGACCAGCUCAGCAUGCUGCGGCCGAAGGUGCCGCUGGGCGGCCUGCAGAACAACUCCAUGACCAGAUCUGCGGGGCCUCUGUCGUUCCAACUGCAGGGCAGCGAGCCCCGUCCAGCCGCGUCUGCCUCCGGUACUUCAGCGACCGCCGACACUAGCGCCCCUAGCGGCGACAGUGAGCACCAGCCGCACGGCCCCAACAGCCUCCAGGCUGAGAUCCAGGAUGCGGAGACGGCGAUGGAGCGUCACCACACGGCCGACAAAGCCUGGGACCGGGAGAUGUCGAUGGAUGACGUCACGCCGGACCACGAGGACAUGCCUUCAGACUUCAAGGCGCCGGCCCUCUCCAACACUACCAAACGCAGUGAACAUCGGUCUGCCAACAACCUGUACCAGGAGCUGAGUUUCCAGGACGCCACGCUGGAACCAGACGACGGAGGAGACGUCACCGCCAGCGAUAACUUUUUCGGAAUGGGACGGGAAGUGGAAAAUCUCAUCAUGGAAAAUAACGAGCUGCUUGCCACCAAGAACGCCCUGAACAUUGUCAAAGACGACCUAAUUGCCAAAGUGGACGAACUCACCGGUGAGCAGGAGAUUCUCCGCGAGGAGGUCAAGUCGCAGCAGACGGUGCGGUCCCGGCUGCAGCUGCGCGUCCAGGAGCUCGAGGACGAGCUGAAGAAGAUGAAGGAGGACGCAGAGAAGACCAGCAAGGAGACCACCGAGGAGGACGACAUCCCGAUGGCCCAGCGCAAGCGGUUCACCCGUGUCGAGAUGGCCCGCGUGCUCAUGGAGCGAAACCAGUACAAAGAACGCUUCAUGGAGCUGCAGGAGGCGGUCAGGUGGACGGAAAUGAUCCGGGCCAGUCGAAGCGACGGUCAGGGCAUCGACAAGAAGAGCAAACAGGGCAUCUGGAAAUUUUUCAGUAACCUGUUCAGUUCGACCGACUCUCGGCCGUCCAGUCGCGCUCUGCCCUCUGGUAACGUCCUGUACGACGCGCCGUCCAACUCCGUCAGCCCGGCCGAGCCGUCCAAGCGGCGCGGCGCGCAGGAGCGCAAACGAGGGCUGGACUUCCUCGACACGGAUAUUUCGUCGGAAAAGCUACAGCAGAGGCGUGCCACCGAGCGGCGUGAACAAUACAAACAGGUGCGCGCCCACGUCAAAAAGGACGACGGACGCAUGCAGGCCUACGGAUGGUCACUGCCCGCGAAGGUGCCCAGCGCGCCGGCCGCGGCGGCGCCUCAGGGCAAGACCGAGAGUCAGAAGUCGUCUCACGUGCCGGUGCCCGUGCCCGUCUACUGCCGACCUCUGAUGGAGAAGGAACAGGGCAUGAAGAUCUGGUGCGCGGCCGGCGUGAAUCUGACGGGCGGCCGGACGCGGGAUGGCGGCAGCGUGGUGGGCGCCUCGGUCUUCUACUCAGGAGAGUGCGCCGUGCCGGGCUCGCCGGUCGGAGAGGGCGACGAGGUCGAGCAGCUUAGUCGGCAGCUCAAGGAGCAAGAGCAGCUUCGUACCGAGAAUGAGACGUUGGACCAGAGCCUGUCCUCGCUGGUGUGGAUCUGCACGAGCACCCACAACGCUAGCAAAGUGACUGUGAUUGACGCCAACAACCCGGCCGAUGUUCUUCAGUCGUUCCCUGUCUGCUCGUCACAUCUGCUCUGCAUUGCCAGUGUGCCGGGCGCCAUGGAGUCUGAUUACGCAGUGGACGGAGAGCUGGCCAGUCUGACCACCGAGGAGCCCGCUCCGGCGACAGCGGCGGCCGGCGGCGGUGAUGAAGCGGACGGCGCUGGUCAGGAGGGCCGCAUGGCCACCAUCCGACUGGUGAGCUGUGCCACCGGAGAGACUGCCCCGCCGGCCAGCGGACCGCCCAGCGGCGUCAGCAGUACUGAUGAGAUCAGACCUGUCCUGCGGAAGGAGGUUAACACUGGGGAGAACGCGGCCGAGCGGCCAGCAGAGGACCCAGAGUCGGCGGCUCAGGCCGAGCGGCGACUGAUGACCUCUCCGACCGAUGACAUUGUCAAGGAUGGCCUCACUGACGGCAUCAGUGAGUCCCACAUGGGCCAGGAGGAGGAGAAGAUGUCGAGCGUGCUGCCCACCAUGUGGCUCGGCUCGCAGUCGGGCUGCGUCUACGUCCACUCGGCCAAGGCCCAGUGGAAGCGCUGCAUUCACUCCAUUCGACUCAAGGACUCGGUGCUCAGCAUUGUUCACGUGAAGGGUCGCGUGCUGGCCUCGCUGGCCGAUGGUACGGUGGCCAUGUUUCACCGCGGGCCCGACGGCCAGUGGGACCUGACCAACUACCAUCUGCUCGACCUGGGCCAGCCGCAGCACAGCAUCAGGUGUAUGACAGUGGUGCAGGACAGCGUGUGGUGCGGCUGUCGAAACCGGGUGCAUGUCAUCAACCCCAAGACCAUGCAGGUCCAGACGUCGUUUGACGCCCACCCGCGGCGCGAGUCGCAGCUGAGGCAGAUGGCCUGGCUAGGUGACGGCGUCUGGGUGUCGAUCCGACUCGACUCGACAUUGCGUCUGUACCACGCGCACACGCAGCAGCAUCUGCAGGACGUCGACAUCGAGCCCUACGUCAGCAAGAUGCUCGGCACCGGCAAGCUGGGCUUCUCGUUCGUGCGUAUCACGGCGCUGCUCAUCUCGUCGAGCCGGCUGUGGAUCGGAACAGGGAACGGCGUGGUCAUCUCUGUGCCGCUGAACGCAGACGGCUCGGCGUCUCGACCGCCGGCGCGCCCCGUCUCCCCGGCGGCGUGGUGCGGGUCUACUCGGACGCUCGCGGCGAGCAGCUCACGCCGGCCAGCUUCAUACCGUACUGUCACAUGGCGCACGCGCAGCUCAGCUUCCACGGGCACCGGGACGCCGUCAAGUUCUUCGUGGCCGUGCCAGGCUCGGGCGGCCUCAGCUCCGCCUCCCAGACCGCCUCGACCGCCGGCGGGUCGGCCGCCGCCUCCUCCGCCGAACAGAAGCCGCGCUCACUACUGGUCAUGUCUGGAGGCGAGGGUUACAUCGACUUCCGAAUCGAUGAGGACGCGCAGGAGACGGCCAGCCACCUAAUCAUGUGGCAGCUGACUGACGACGUGUGUCACGUGACCUCUGACGUCACCACCCCACCACCGACCGACGGGCGGGCGGCCGAGGCGGCGGCAUCAUGAGAGGCCGAGGAGGAAGAGGACCUGGAGGAGUCAGCCGACAAGCCGCGCUCUCUGUCUCGCGGCGAGCGCUCCCACCUGAUCGUGUGGCAGGUGUCCGUACCAGACUAGUCACCCGACGAGCCGCCUGGUUGAAGGCUUGUCGACAUACGAGUCGCCUGGUUCGCGACUUGUCCUUUGACGAGCCGACCAGACGGGUCCGGUUCGUCGCCGGCUGGCGUGUUCGUGUGCGUGUGUGCGUGUAUUUAUUGCAAUUGUCGGGACGUUUUAGUAGUGAUUCGUGGCUUAUGCGGACGCCCGUUGGUGAUAUGGACUGUGCGGUCGCACGCUGACCUGCGCGGUAACCCGUGCGCACUGUCACGGCACGAUUGGACAACUAGGCAGCAUUGUGCAGCGUCACGCUACAAUGAUGAAUUUUUUUCACUUUGCCUUCGGUGUAGCAGUCGGGACAGGCAGCGGCCCAUGACGGUCGGGUUUUAGCGAAAAAGUGUGUGGGGGUGCGCGCGUAUGUGUGUCUGUGUUCCAUUGAAGUGCAUGCAAUGCGUUGUGGUAGGAGGGCAGGCGGCACGCUCUGGUCUAGUCGGAGGUCGGAGGUCGAGCGCCGGCCGUGAGUGACCUCGUGACCCGGUGAUUGCCCGAGGCUAUCGCGGCGCUGGGCUGUUAUAUUUAUUCUUAAUGGACUUAUUUAGCUGCAGAGUACGGGUGGAUCACCCGAACGUCGGUCAGGCAGGCGCGAACGGCGGUGGACACGGUGUGGGACGUGUAGCUGCGGCUGAUGGCGGCGCGCACGCGGUCCUCCAGUGGCCGCACACUCAGUCAUACGGCUCGGUCUAGGCUGCCGCGGAUGUGGGCUUUUCAGCAGGGCGGUAUGAUUCAGGUUUCGGCCGACAAUCGUCGAUGAGCCGGGGGACUUUUGGCCCGUCCCCCGGCAAGCCUACGCUUGGUGUCGGCUCCACACGCCUGGUUGACCCGUUCCGACCCCGGCGCGGACCGCCGGGAUGGGGCCUGGUCCGUGUUGGGGUCUCAUUCCCGCGUCCCCAGGCCGGGAUACCCGGCGCGUGGCGCGUGCGUGCCCCGAAGGCUUGACCUCCGCGACAGCUGGGCUGUUGUUGGUUGUUUGAUUUGGAUAUUUUAUGCGUUUUAAUGUGUCCGGCGCGGUGCAAUCUAGUGUUACACGACGCGCUGAAGUGUGCUCUCUGGCAUGGAGGGGUUGCAAAACCUAACGGAGAAAUGUAUCCAACUGCUUACUCAAAACUGUGACGGGCUUCACUAAACAGAAUCUACGCACUCCCGAUCGUUUGAAGUCAUGUACGCAUUGUGGUGCAGAGAUCUGUAUCUACAGCCUGGAUGUCGUCGGCUGGCUUUUGAUAACGGUCUGUGUAGGUUGAAUUUGUACAUCGAGCUCUGAUGUUCGUGAGUGGGGUGAUUCUGCUUCUCGGUCAGAAUCGUAGCCUAUGUAUCCGAGGCCUAUGCGCACGCUAUGUAACAAACGAUACAGUGAAAAUAAACGCGGUUGCGUUCA